rnacentral:rRNA from 1 species
CCUANGGGGGGCAGCAGUGGGGAAUCUUGCACAAUGGACGAAAGUCUGAUCCAGCCAUGCCGCGUGAGUGAAGAAGGUCUUCGGAUUGUAAAGCUCUUUUGCCAGGGACGAUAAUGACGGUACCUGGAGAAUAAGCCCCGGCAAACUUCGUGCCAGCAGCCGCGGUAAUACGAAGGGGGCUAGCGUUGUUCGGAAUUACUGGGCGUAAAGCGCACGUAGGCGGGUCGUUAAGUCAGGGGUGAAAUCCCGGAGCUCAACUCCGGAACUGCCUUUGAUACUGGCGAUCUAGAGAUCGGAAGAGGUUAGUGGAAUUCCCAGUGUAGAGGUGAAAUUCGUAGAUAUUGGGAAGAACACCAGUGGCGAAGGCGGCUAACUGGUCCGAUACUGACGCUGAGGUGCGAAAGCGUGGGGAGCAAACAGGAUUAGAUACCCUGNUANUC